CUGAUAAAAUAUUAAAGGGCUGCAGUAUUUUGACUGUACAAAGGUAGCAUAAUCAAUAGUCUCUUAAUUAGUGACUUGUAUGAAAGAUUGGAUGAAAUAUAUAUUGUCUCUUAUUUAUAUAAAGAAUUUAAUUUUUUGAUUAAAAAGUCAAAAUUUAUUUAAAAGACGAGAAGACCCUAUAGAGUUUAAUAUUUUUAUUAAUUAAGGUUUUAUAUUUGAAUAAUAAUUGAAAUUAUUGAAAAUAUUUUAUUGGGGUGAUAAAAAAAUUAAUUUAACUUUUUUUUUAAGUUUUACAUUAAUAAGUGGUUAUAUGAUCCAAAAAUUUUGAUUAUAAGAAAAAAUUACCUUAGGGAUAACAGCGUAAUUUUUUUUUUUAGCUCAAAUAAAAAAAAAAGUUUGCGACCUCGAUGUUGGAUUAAGAUAAAAUUUAUAUGCAAAAGUAUAAAAUUUUGAUCUGUUCGAUC
rnacentral:rRNA from 1 species